GCUCUGCCCGCAAGGACGCUCCUCGCCCUGCUCCGUAGGUCACGGCUGGGAAACGUGGGCACCACGGAAGAGGGUGAAGGUGCCCAGUCCCACAAGCAACGAAGGCAAACUCUCUGCCCUCCUUCCCGGCUCUCCGGCCCUCCUCCCGCGAGAGCACACCCAUGGUCUACUCAGAACACUAGGAGACGAACCGCGAAGCCUCACCAUUCCUAGGCUGCCAGCUCCAACAAUUUCUCCGCGGCGACAGCAGGAGCCGCAGGGCCAAAGCCGGCUUCCGUGAGAUACAUCUACUUCCGGGUUACGGACAAGGGGUUGGACAAUCUCUUCCGGUUCGUGAGUGAAAGGGGCGGGGCGGUGGCCACGGAGUCGCGGGAAGCCGGAAGUGAAGUUUUCCCGGUUGGAAAAAGCACGUUGGGAGGCUUUAGGCAUUAGGUAAUUACGGGAACCAGGGAGGCUUGCCGGUCCGAGCGAGUAGCGGGGCCUUGUGGUGAGGCAGCCUAGGCGACGCUGGGAGGAGCGGGACCGCCACGUGAAGUUGAGCUUCGCAUUUGCACUGAGCUUGGAGGGUCUCCCAGGACCAAAUUUUGUAUUGUUUUAUCUGCCGGUGCUUUUAGGUAAAGUAUUCUGACAGGCACUUUGCUAAGCCCAGGCCGGGGAGAAGAUCUUGAAGAGCUUGCUCUAGCUGGGGAGAUGUGCACAGGAAGACUCAUGUCUAAGGAGGGGAUGCUGGAUGGUGAGCGGGUUCCAAAGGAAGCACUUCCAGGGAAGUGGAGGCCCAGUCGGUUACAGCAGAUGGACUCCAUCUAGACUGCCGGGGGGCAGUCGUGGGUAGCUGGGAGACCAACAGAAUCGCUAUUUUGGAAGAAAGAACUGGUUCCCAGGGAACAGGGAACGUCGGCAGUUUGGGGCUUUGAGAGAUGCCUGGGAAACCCAGAGAAACUCGGCUCUAAUGGCUCUGUUUGUUUCAUGCCCCCUUUGAGGACUACAAAAGUGUAGCAGCUCUGACUGGUGAAGCUCCCUGGAAGAGCGUUUGCCUUGUGUGCCUGACAUAAUCGGUGUCAGAUGGACGGCUUGCCCAUGCUCACCCUGACGGUUUACUCUCAGCUUUAAGUCUCCACUUAAUUUACUCUGACGAUCUUAUUUGAUGAGUAUAUACUUGCUUUAUCUCCCCCAAAACAUAAAGUUUUCUAGUACACAGUGUGCUGGUUAGACUUUUUUUUUUUGUCAACGUGACACGAGUCAUUUUCGAAGAGGGAACCUCGAUUGAGAAAAUGCCUACAUCCGAUUGGCCAGUGGGCAAGACUGUGGGCAUUGUCUUGAUUGGAUCGAUGUGGGAGGACUAUGCCUACUGUGGGCAUUAUAACCCCUGGGCAGGUGGUCCUGCUUGGUAAAUGAAGGCAAGAUGAGCAAGCAAAGGAGAGUUUGUCAGUAAAGAGCCAUUCUCCGUCAUUUCUGCCCCAGUGCCUGCCUUGAGGUUUCUGCCCUUCGACAUUCCUUUGUGAUGGAGUGUGACUUAAAAGCUGUAAGAUGAAGUAAACCUUUCUUUCCCAAGUU